rnacentral:rRNA from 1 species
UGGGGAAUAUUGGACAAUGGGCGAAAGCCUGAUCCAGCCAUGCCGCGUGUGUGAAGAAGGUCUUCGGAUUGUAAAGCACUUUAAGUUGGGAGGAAGGGCAGUAAGCGAAUACCUUGCUGUUUUGACGUUACCGACAGAAUAAGCACCGGCUAACUCUGUGCCAGCAGCCGCGGUAAUACAGAGGGUGCAAGCGUUAAUCGGAAUUACUGGGCGUAAAGCGCGCGUAGGUGGGUCGUUAAGUUGAAUGUGAAAGCCCCGGGCUCAACCUGGGAACUGCAUCCAAUACUGGCCAGCUAGAGUAUGGCAGAGGGUGGUGGAAUUUCCUGUGUAGCGGUGAAAUGCGUAGAUAUCGGAAGGAACACCAGUGGCGAGGGCGACCACCUGGGCUCAUACUGACACUGAGGUGCGAAAGCGUGGGGAGCAAACAGG